AAAGUCGUAACAAGGUUUCCGUAGGUGAACCUGCGGAAGGAUCAUUAAUGAUUCAAGAGGAUGUGCUGGCUCUUCUGUUGGAAGAGCAUUGUGCACUCUCUCAAAUCUAACUCUAUUCACCUGUGCACACUUGGUAGGCAAAAGUUUGGGGGCACACUUGUUCCCAAACAUUGUCUAUUGUUUUGUAACACACACCUUAUAAAUUCGAUUGAACGAAAAAUAAAUUUGUAACAACUUUCAACAAUGGAUCUCUUGGUUCUC
rnacentral:misc_RNA from 1 species